rnacentral:rRNA from 1 species
UACAGAGGUGCCAAGCGUUAGGCGGAAUCACUGGGCUUAAAGCGCGUGUAGGUGGACGGGUAAGUAUCUUGUGAAAUCCCACGGCUCAACCGUGGAACUGCUGGAUAUACUGCUUGUCUUGAGGCACUUAGGGGCAGCUGGAACAAAUGGUGGAGCGGUGAAAUGCGUAGAUAUCAUGUGGAACGCCGAAGGCGAAGGCAGGCUGCUGGGAGUGAUCUGACACUGAGACGCGAAAGCCUGGGUAGCAAACGGG